ensembl:lncRNA
UAGGUUUUACAGGAAAUGUUUAAUUAGACAACUGAACGCAUGCCAGGAAGAACCAUGUUACAGCAGAGGUAUCUGUUCUCUCCUCGUCCACCCUACACAUCGUGAGAGACCGGAAACAUACCACAAACCACCAGGAAACCUUGCUAUCUGCUGUCCAUUAUUGCAGUGACACAUCAGUCUUGUUGUAUACUGAGGGGGAAACACAUUGUUGUAUGAAAAGUUGAAGGUCUUAAUACAAGUUUUGGGGUUGGAGUAUCAUCACUGGGGUGUAUUCAUUAGCAGACACCAUAGCAAAACGUUUAGCUACAGAAAACGAUUUGCGACAAAAAUGUGCGUUUGUUAUUGGACAAGUUCAGGUUAGUCCCUCCCCGUUUCGGCCUGUUUGCUUCUGUUUGGUUCCUAGUGAAUACACCCCUGGUACAUGUUGGCAUCUUUGUUUGGGCAAAAGGAAGAAUAUUCACAUCUCUCUUGCACAUGUUGCCCACAGGACUUUUACCUCUCACAGGAAACAUCUAGAGACAAUAGAAAAGAUGCACUUAAGUAGCAUUCACAUGCAGCUUUAACUCAGCGUCCUCAGACUAGGUUUAGAUUGGAACCUUUUCCUUACUAAUUCUUACAUAGGAAUUCACAGCUAAUGUUUAUCAGGUUUUGGGUAGUAUUAUCUUACAUAAAAUGAGUAUUUGGGAUGAACAAAUAGGUGGAUGGGAUUCCAAACUCCAACGAAAACACCUCCUGGGUAGAAAAAUGAGCCAUUUAGGAAAAGACCAGAAGAGACAGAAACAUAGAAGAGGGUUUGAGAAACUUGUGCUUAUCAUCCUGAAGGCUCUCAGUCUGGAUACUGUAAAACACACAACAACCCCCUGCUCCCACCUUCACCCCGUGGUUCACUUCCCAAACACGCCCCCCGGAAACACGCCCCCUGUCCUUGACAGAGGAAGUCCGUCCUCAUUGGUCCGUUUGUGUUUCUCAACGUGCCACAGUUUUUUUUUCUUGAUUAUUGAUGAGCCAAAAUACCAGAAUAUCAAAAAUAAAUGCAACCCUUUCACAAAACAAUGAGAAAUAAAUAAUCAGUGGUGUUCUGCUUGUAUAUAUUUACAUACAUAAAGAGUCGUUUUGUUGUUGUAUGUAUAUGUACAGAAUCAAUAGGCAGUCUGUUUUCCAGACUGAGCACGAACAUAUGACUGGAAUUAUAAAUUCACACGCAACUCCAGGAGAAAGCAAAGAAAGAAAAAUAACUUAAAGGGGCAGGUCAAAAAAUUCUACUACAUAAUUGUUUACCCCUACAGGGAUGCAGUGGUUUGUAGGGAGAGAGAGAAGUAAAUAUCAAAUAAAAACAGAAAAUAGAUUUUUCUUUCAUAGGACUCCUUUAACAUAAAAAACCUUACACAGCGAGUAACUGGCGAGAAAUAGCUUAUUCAAAUCAUGAACAUUGAUUGACUACGACAUGCACAAUGCUUUUCAAGCCUUGGGAGGAAGAGAAGCUUGAUUUUGCUGCACAGAUCACAGGCUAAUGUGGAUUUUGUCAUUUUAUAUUGAAUAAUUCUGUUAUUGAACUAUAAACAAUAUGCAGGGCACCGUUGUGGAUUGUUAAUCAGCUAACUGUGCCCCAUUUAAUCUGUUUGACCUAUAAGACAGUCAAGCUCUAUGUACAAGCCCAAAGUGCUCAUUCAUGAGAGUCAUUGUGAAUCGAAUCAGUUGAAUAAAGUUGAUCCGACAAACUGUAUUGUGGGAAAUGCAGUUCACUCUCUGAAAAUGACUGUGCUUCUUUUGAUGUAUUUCGGUUCUAGUUUGUAAUCGACUGGACAAAUGAUUCUUUAUCCUUAUAGUUCUUCCAUUCUCUAUAUAGUGGACAUCCUCUUCCUUCUGCGCAUGUCAACAAGGCCAGUAGCUGCAGUAACAGACGUCCCUACUGAACUUAAAUGUCUUAACCCCUUCUGAAAUGUCUUCUGAAAUGUCCUGUAGGG